ensembl:piRNA 21ur-4110 ncRNA
UGAGUGGUUGUAAUUUGGUUG